AUUUUGCAAUACAGAUUUAAUAACAAAGCAGAUCAAACGAAGCUGAGAAACUAUGCACAGAUGUGCCUCAAAUCCUAUGUAAACACUUUUCUUAGAGUUGUAAGGCACUUAAAUGACUUUUUAUGUAACCUCCUCUAGCAAUCUUAAUAUCAGGGUUUUCGUCCACAGAACAGCGUCCUUUGCGAAGGGGCAAAGCGUCCUCAUCUAGCCUUGCUCCUGACUGGCAGCAGCUUGCCUGGCACCCACCCCUGCCUAGGUGCGCGUUUGAUAAAUGUCUUGCCGGCGGCGACGUUCAGUUGCCAUUCUCCACCACGCCGUGCACCUGCUCAGCAUCUCGCAGUCUCCACGGCCAGUCCCCGAGCCCAGGACCCCUCCCUCGCCGCACGGCCCCCUCCGUUCAUCCCGCCCGGGCCCUGGCGGAAACUGCCCGACCCCAGGCGGGAGCGGCGGGGCGGGCGGGGAAAGUGCUCGUAAUCACAUGGAGGCCCGGGCCCGCCCCAUUGGCUGCGGCCGGGCCAGUCGCAGCGCUCGCAGGCUGCGGUUGGUCCCGGAGCUGCAGCGCCUGCUCGGGCCCGGAGUCCAUGUUACGCUUUGUCUAAUUCCCCUCGUUACAGAGUCAUGUGCUGCUGCUCCAGUCGCCGUCGCUGCCGCCGCCCGUGGUGCCCCGGCUCCUCCGCCGCGCUUCGAGGUGGCCGCCGCGGGCGGGGCCGCGGGAGCAGGGUCCAGGGCGCCGCGCACCCCCGCCGCCCCGGCGCGUCCCGGAGCAGCCGCCGCCUGCCGCAGGUGAUGCCUCCGCCUCCCGCCUCCGCCUAAGCCGUGGCUCGGCGGCCGAGCUGCCCCAAAGGUCGGAAGUGCACGGCCGGGGUCCCAGGAUGGAGGAGUGAAGUCUCGCGCCGCGGUCCCAGCCUCCGGAGCCCGCCCGAAGCCCAGUCCCCGAGAGCGCCCUGACGGAGCAGGGUGGCCGCCGGGUCCAGGUGCACGCGGGGUGGGUGCGGACAUACGGGCUGUGCUUUGCCACUGUGCCGCGUGGGUGUUGUAGGUCGCCAGCCUUGCCGGCCGGCUCCCCCAGGGGCUCUGCCAGACUGUUACCGCCACUGCCGCCCAGGUGUGUCAGGCAUGAGCGGGAAGCUCCGGCCAGCGCGUGUCCUUCAGGAGUCUCUAGCUGUCCUCACCACCCUCUCUGCUGCCUAGAGCAGCCGCUCUUUGUUCCUCUCUGGCCGGGGGUUGUCCACGUAGAUGUUCUGGAAGGCCUGAAACAACUGAGUAUUACUGAGAGCCAGGCCAGCACAAACUGAGGGAAUUAGUGAUGCAGACACAAAACUAC
rnacentral:lncRNA from 1 species